CGUAAAGAACUUGCCUCACAGCUAGGGACAACAUUUAGAAAUGAAUGCUAAUACCUGAUAUUAUGAUUUUAAGGCAUCUUAGAAUUAUGAAAGCUAUAAGCACUGUGAGAGAGCUUUGCGUCCCAUUAGCUAGUUGGAGAGGUAACAGCUCACCAAGGCGAUGAUGGGUAGCUGGCCUGAGAGGGUGAACGGCCACAAGGGGACUGAGACACGGCCCUU
rnacentral:rRNA from 1 species